AAAACGUUAGUAGAAUGGAUAUUACAUGAUUCUGUCAGCAUCAAGCUGUUGGUUCAACUCCAGCGCGUUUUA
rnacentral:tRNA from 1 species